CGUGAUCUUUUAUUUCUCAGUCACUAAUGCCUCCAGAACCAAACAAGAAUACCAUUUCUUGUUGCUAACGCCUCCAGAAUGUUAGUGUUUCUCAGUCACUCUGGUAAGGCUUUGAUUCAUAAACUAGACUAGAAUGCCUGCCAAUGUAACUGAAAUUGCUAGGCGGGUCUAGGCGGCGCUAGGCGGGUCUAGGCGGUUCUAGGCAGCGCUAGGCGGGUCUAGGCGGGUCUAGGCGGCGCUAGGCGGGUCUUGGUGCCAGGGUGGGUCUGGUUCUUUAGGGUUUAGGGUCUGGGUGCCAGGGUGUGUCUGGUUCUUUUAUUUUGUUCUUUAAGCCUACUGCCUAGCGAUUUUUCGAACUUAUGCACCGCAGGGCGGGUCUAGGCGGCGCUGGGAGGUCGGGUUCUUUUCUUUUUUUCUUUUAAAGGGUAAUACCGUUCUGUGCUAUUAGCUUCCUGCAAUAUCAAAUCUUUGAAGACUUGAGUAUGCUUUAAAAAACUGAGGUUGACACUACCAUUACACGGUUUACAAUUUGCUUGGAGAUUGGCAAUUUCUUGUUGGAGAAGUUCUGUAGUGUACGUUAGAUGUGCUCAUCUUCGAAUUUGCAGUUAGAAGAAGUUCUCAUGGUUGAGCUUCAUUUUUGCAUUUUUCAACCUGGCAUCUCGAAUACAGAAAACAUUGCAAGGUUCAUCUGACGAUAUUGGAUGGUUGCCGCCCGCUCCUGGCGUGCCUGGUGUGGAGGAUGGUACAGCAAGAUUCUUGGAAUUGCUUGCAGGAAUAAGGUACCAAGCUAAUAUAAUAGCUCCACUGUACUAGAUGGUUGGACCUGUUAAGGAACUGCGUUCAAUUUUGUUAUCAUAUCUGUUUAAUCUAUUCUUGUAUAUUCCUAUUGCUUGUAUGUCAUGCUAUAUACUUCAGGAAUGGGGAGCACAC